rnacentral:lncRNA from 1 species
GCCGCGGUGGCAACAAUAAAAGCAGAGCAAGCCAAUCAGCAACAUUAUUGUGUAUCUGUUCAUGACAGCGGUUUUGAAGAAGUCAGCCAGUGAUUCUGCGAAUUACCCGACAGAUGGUUCCUCCUAUAUAUAG